UAUGCAAAGUAUUGGAUCAGAUAAAAUAUGAGAAGAGACUGUGUUGAAGAGGGGACUGACUGCACGUACAAGCAGUUCCAAUGUGGAUCUUCUGACCAUCAGUUUUACAGAUUCAUCAGCAGCAAACUAAGGGUGACCCAAGGCUGAGAAUAAUUAUGUUCUAAGACAAUACCUGCCUACUCAAGAAACAGCAAAAUACUAGUCCUUUCAUGUGAUAUUAU